rnacentral:rRNA from 1 species
GACAGAGGGUGCAAACGUUGUUCGGAAUUACUGGGCAUAAAGGGCACGUAGGUGGUUCGCUAAGUUACGUGUGAAAUCCCCCGGCUCAACCGGGGAAUUGCGCGUGAUACUGGCGGACUCGAGGCGGGUAGGGGUGAGCGGAACUCCAGGUGGAGCGGUGAAAUGCGUAGAUAUCUGGAGGAACACCGGUGGCGAAGGCAGCCUCCUGGGCCAACACUGACGCUCAUGCACGAAAGCGUGGGGAGCAAACAGG